GUGCAUCCCUCCUUCUUCCCCAAAACACUGCAUCUUCUCUUCUUCUUCCUCCCAAAACCCUUUUCUAUUCUCUCUGUCAACACAAGAGUUUGACAGAUAAAGUCAGUUUGCUUUCCAGUUUCCUUCAACUUUUCACGGUAGAGACCGAAAGAAACAUAGUCGGCUAUUUUCCGGCAAUUGGCUGAGCUCCGUCGCGUGGUAGGCCUCAACCCACUGAGUGGAGACUAAGGAAUAUCAUGAUGGUGACGGAUCUCCGGCGGUGUAGAUCGACGCGGUUAAGUGUAUGCAUCUUGAAAGAAGCGGAUUUGAAGGUGAAACUUGAAAGCAUACUUUAUUGGUGAACAGAGAAAGAGUUGUUAGUUACUUGAAUUCUUUGGGAAGAUGCGUUUAAUUUUUGAGCUGACAUGGGACUGAGACAAUGUGAUAUAAUUCAUGCCCAGAGGUGAAGAUUAAGUCGUUCACCACGUAAGGGAUGGGUUGUGUGUGUCGUUGAACAUGUCCCUGUUCGAGAUAUAGGAUAUGAAUUUAUGGUUUGAGUAUUGAUAAUAGAAGGGAAAUGGGAGAAUGAGCAUUAUAUCGCUGGGAUACGUGUGUCAGAGGGCUUCCACAGGGAGCAUCAUAUGAUCAAGAGGGAGAUGUUGGAUGGAGGGCUUCCUAUGAAAACAACGGUUCGUUCCGUGUAUAUCGCUACAUGAUUAACACAUAAAACUGCUAGCUAUAGAUAUUUUAAUGUUAGUUCUAAAGCUAAGAAACAAUGAAUCAGUGACUUUAGUAGCUAUAGGUAGAAAUUAAAUGAAUGUGGCCAUCAACUCAUAUUGUGAUUUGAUAAGAGUUAUUAGGGUCCUGGAAUAAAAAGGGUUAUUGGAUUAUUGG
rnacentral:lncRNA from 1 species